GAUCAGGCUACUUCCUGAAGCAGUGAGACGGUUGUGUGGCCAGCUCGACUUAUCCCUUUCUUUGGCCCCAAACUCAUAUCACAGCUUCCCAUUUAUCCCACCUAGCUUGACGGCAGUUGACGAAAGUAGCCUUGGAAAUGUUUGUAAAAAGCCAAUUCCUGGAGAGCAGAGUAAGGGGGAAGAACGAAUCUGUUUUUUGAAUCUCCAAGGUUUCAAAGCAUGGAUAACUGAAGAUUCAUUAACUUAAGCACUAAUGAGUUUCUAAAUAAAGUUGAGAACUUCAGUUCACUACCCUCAUCGAGAAAAUUAUGGUCAAGUGUUGAGAAGGCACCCAGGGCUCUCCACCUGACUCCAUUCUUCACAUUCUCCCCCAGCACAGAAAUGGCCACAGGGAAAGCCUUCUAUCAAACUCUGUGACAUCUUGGCCACUCCACACAGAAAAGCUCCACUGAUGUAGAGAAGACCUCAUUACAGACAAACAAGAUGAUGAGAAUUAAGCAUCCCUAUGGACAAAGCCAAUUAGAAAAGACGAUGGUAACCGAAGCUGUAUAGUAACGUAAACAGUCUGGGAGAGCAACUUCUCAUUUUGGCGUAAUUGAGAGAGGAAAAUGACCCAACUCUAUUUGCUAAAGCUCUUCAGAUCCUGAAGAUUCAGAACUCUAUCUGACAAGCCAAAAUGGGUUAUCCUGAGAAAGAACUUGAAACUAAGAUUUAAGAUGGAUUUCAUAUUCUCUACCUUUGGGUAUUUUUAUUGGAAAGAGCAUGACACGGGUAGAACAGGAAGAAAAGGUGGUCAUCUCCAGGUCUUUGCUCUACAUGAAUUUUCCUGAGUAUCCAGAUACUUAGAAACAUCUGAAUACUUAAAUGGGACUAAUACAAUAUUUGGGUGACUGAAAACAUUGUUUCUUUUACAUAGAAAUAUUUGGACAUUUUGCAUAGGUUAUCUAAAAUAUCAAUGAUAUAAGGUAACAUAUCAAACAUAUGCUUUGUUCUUGGUGUGAUCCUUGUCUUCACUUGCUCGCAUGAUAGUGACUUUAGUUUGGAUGAUGUAGUGGUGCCUAGAUUUCCAACUAUGUCAGAAGAAUGGACUAAUAAUUCCACUCUGGCAGCCUGACUCACUGUAAACCCAUGGCUAAAAAGGCACACAGACCUACAGAGAAUGACAGCAUCAAUGGUAUGUUAUAGAAACUCAUGCUGCACUUCUCAAAAACAAAGUUUUCUGUCUUCACAGCUUUCAAUAUAGCACCUUGCACUGAUACUAAAUUUGCUGAUUGUUUUUUAAACAAGGAAGAAGUAUACAAACAGGGAAAUAAGGUGCCUGCAACACCCCCUGUUGAAAGCUGCAUUACUUAUUCUGCUAGAAUGAGUUUAUAUUGGAUAAAUCUAGUACGACGUGAAAACCCUAUUUCCAGCUGAGACUUAAAGAUGUUUUACUAAAACAUGCUUAAGCAAAUGCAUUUUGACGCCUCACGAGGAAGAUACACACAGAGCUAUCUGUAGAAGUUCAAUAAUUUGUGUAUUGGCAGCUGAAGAAAGAUGUUCUCUUUCUGAUUUGCACUCAAAGAUUUGCAUUGACUUAAUUUAAAAUUCAUGGUAUGCACAGUAGAAAUGGUUAAAUAUGACUUUUGGAUGAUAACUAACAAGGGAAAGUAACUUUUCCUUUCCUGUUCAGUAGUUAGCUAUGCUACUGAAACUCCACAUGCUCACCCAGAAACUGUCCUUUUAGCAGAGGGUCCCUUCACCGUGACAGCCUAAGACAAUGGGACUGCUCCUUCAACUGGCCUCUCUCCACCUUCCAGGAUCCCGAAAGUUUUGAAAUCCACCUCAAGCCCAGGCAGUAGCAAACUGGGAGAGGAAUUGAAGAAGCAAAAAUAAAUAUUAAAGUACAGAAGAAUUAAAUAUUACCUAUUUAAAUGGCAAUUAGGCAGUUGAAAACAAGAUCAUCACACCUGUACAAGAAAAGGCAUACAAGCCCAAAACAUCUGCUGGGAUCCACCUGCCAGGCACCUGUUUUGCUGUUUCAAUGCCAUUUGAUUGCUGGAGAUGUAGAGGCUCUUGUGAGGUAAUGAGUGAUUUUACAUUAUGCAUGAUUGAAAACAGGUGUUCUAAUGCUGUACAAUUCGAUGCAUGAAUAAUUCAGUUUGUUUAGAGCAAGAUCUUUCAAAGAAGUACUGCAUAGGCUUUAUUAUUUCUAUAAACACGAAGGUUAGUUUUUAGAAAAUGCACAACGAUUGUUCCUUUUCAGUCUGCUUGUUUAUGUCAAUUUUUGUGUAAUUUUAUGGAUGAGGAAUAAUAUCUUGAAAGGUAAAAUUGAUCAGACUUAAAACAUGUACGAAGUAAAAUUGAAAGGUCUCUUAGCAAGAGGAAAAACGAUAUUAAAAUUCA